rnacentral:rRNA from 1 species
CCUACGGGUGGCAGCAGUGAGGAAUAUUGGUCAAUGGGCGCGAGCCUGAACCAGCCAAGUAGCGUGAAGGAUGACUGCCCUACGGGUUGUAAACUUCUUUUAUAAAGGAAUAAAGUGAGGCACGUGUGCCUUUUUGUAUGUACUUUAUGAAUAAGGAUCGGCUAACUCCGUGCCAGCAGCCGCGGGAAUACGGAGGAUCCGAGCGUUAUCCGGAUUUAUUGGGUUGAAAGGGAGCGUAGAUGGGUUGUUAAGUCAGGUGGGAAAGUUUGCGGCUCAACCGUAAAAUUGCAAUUGAUACUGGCAGCCUUGAGUACAGUUGAGGUAGGCGGAAUUCGUGGUGUAGCGGUGAAAUGCUUAGAUAUCACGAAGAACACCGAUGGCGAAGGCAGCUUACUAGACUGCCACUGACGUUGAUGCUCGAAAGUGUGGGUAUCAAACAGGAUUAGAUACCCUUGUAGUC